UAUAGCUUAUAAAAAUAGUCUGUAGCAUAUAUGAAAAUAAUUUAUCUUUGUUUUAUCAUUUGCUAUUAAAAUAGCUUGUGUAAGCUUAUAUAUAAGCUCUUAUUAUGAUUGGCGUUUGUGCUAUAAGUUGCAAACUUGCAAUGGCAUCUACAAAUUUUUAUAUGUUUUGCAAUUCAAUAAGGCAUGAGAUGAUGGGCAGAUGCACAGGGAAUUUGCAAUGAAGGCAGCUGCCCACCCCAAAGUUGCAAUUGUGAUCCUGUAAUCAUUACCUUCAUUACGAGUUGUCGCGAUUUUUCUACAUUUCAUGAUGCUUUUCGCCAGUGUGCCUAACUUUGGUUGAAGACUAGGGAGAUGCUUGGCUUCCUCCUUGGUUUCAUCUCAGAACCUGAUCAGUCUGUAGUGCCAAAGGAUGUUUUGAAGGCUGCACGUGAGAAGGUUCAUGAUCAUUGUUCUUGCAAUUGGAAUUGAAGAGUUGCCACCUCAAGAUGUUGUUGAUGCAAGCAAAAAAGUGAAAGAUUUAAUUAAUAUUGCAAUUACUGGAAUGACAGAGGUUAAAAGCAUGGUGAAGUGCAGAUUUUUGGCACCGCAAGGAGACUAGUGGUUUCUGUUGAAAAUCUUAUCACGAAACAAACAGAACAAGAGGUUGAGGUUCGAGGUCCUCCUGUUUCAAAAGCAUUUGAUCAAGAAGGAAAUCCAACUAAGGUUUCAUUGUGGUUUAUAUUUUUCUUAUUAUAUCCUAAAUUGUGGUUCAAGAAUGCUGCCUUAAUUUAGCUUUCUUAUGUCGGGCUGCUGAGGGUUUUCCAAGUAAAUAUUCUGUUCCACUGGACUUGGUAUACAUAAAGGUUGAUGGUUAGUAUCCAGAGCCAAAUUGUUUCAUGGGUUUGGAUGUUUUUAGUUUUUACCCUACUCAUCAAAUCAAACAAUUAUUUUUUUAUUGUUGGUUUUCAUUGUACACUACUGACAACACAAGAAGAGUUGAGUAAAUAACUAAGGUAAAAUCCUGAAAUGUCACUUCCAAUGCAACUGGUUACAAGGAAAAUACUCAUCGGACCAUAUUUUCAUCUUAUAUAGGAUGUUUUGUCUUCCUGUUUUAUACUUUUUCUACCUGAUACAGAAUUCUUUAUUGAAGAAAACAUGGAUGAG